UACGUAGGGAGCAAGCGUUGUCCGGAAUCAUUGGGCGUAAAGCGCGUGUAGGCGGCUUUGCAAGUCGGAUGUGAAAGCCCUCGGCUCAACCGGAGGAAGUGCGUUCGAAACUGCAGAGCUUGAGUACCGGAGAGGGUGGCGGAAUUCCCCAAGUAGAGGUGAAAUUCGUAGAUAUGGGGAGGAACACCGGUGGCGAAGGCGGCCA
rnacentral:rRNA from 1 species